UCGUCAGGUAGGAUAAUCCUUACCUGUUCCUCCUUUUGGAGGGCAGAAUAGAAUAUGAUGAUUGGAGCUCGCAUGAUUCGUGAUUAACGGCUCUGCGUAAUCAGGACUUGCAACACCCUGAUUGCUCCUAUCUGAU
rnacentral:snoRNA from 1 species